rnacentral:lncRNA from 1 species
AGGCCCAACCCUUGGCCUCGGCCCUGUUGCCCUUCACCGUGGCUUCGGCCGCUGGGGGCCUGAGUCCCCCAGUUCUCACACUUUACAAUGACUUGAGCAGCUUAACCUUUCUCCUUUCCCAUCUGCAGACCAGAACUCGUGCACCUUCAGUCCGAAGGUUACCUCUGCCUCCGCGGCGUCAACUGCCCCCCUCUCCUGACCGGAACUUGCCCGGCUGACAAAUCCAGAGAUUUUGAAGGCCAGGUUCAGUCUACACUCAGUUUUCAGCACCCACAUAUAUGAAGGAUCUGACUUUCUCUUCUCACCCCUGAGGAUGCUAGGCAUAAAUGUGCCGCACAGAGGGUUCUGAGCCACCACUGCUCAGCUACAAAAACAAAACAACAUAAAACAACUGAAGAAAAGAAGAGGAGGAGGGAGAGAAAGAGGAAGAAGAGAAGGACAGUAAUGAAGAUAGGAUGAAGAACAGCUCUUUGUCACCUUUUGGACUCCAAUGCAUGCUCAGUGAAUUGGAAUAAUGUUGAUCUUUGGAAAUAUUUAACACAUGCCUGCUUGCAUGGGUGUAUGCAUGUGUGCAUGUAUGUGUGCGUGUGAGUGUGUGUUGUAGUGUAUGUGUUUAUGCACAUGAGCAGAUAGAGCCCAGAGGUAGAUGUCGGGUAAGUUUCCCACUAUUACUGCCAUCUUAUUUUUUUGCAACAGGGUCACUCAGUGAAUCAGGAUGUCACCAGACAGCUGGUUAGCAAGCUGCAGUAACCUGCCUGUCUCUGUGAGAAGUGGGCAUCAGAUCCCCUGGAAUGGAAUCACAGAUGGCUGUGAGCUACCUUGUUCUGGGAAUCACAUCCAUCUGGUCAAAUAUUAGAAGGAAUAUUAGAAAAAUUUCCUGUUGCUUUGGAAGUUAAAUGCACACAACACACACACACACACACACACACACACUAUGUAGAUGAUUUACUACUGUCAGUGGAACAAGAGAAUAAAAUUAUGAGCUCAACAGUUUAUCACUGUUGACUUUCCUGGGGAAAGGAAACUUGUAAUUCCUAAAAAGUGACGGGCUGGAGGGAUGGCUCAAUGGUUAAAAGUUCAGGUUGCUCUUCCCGAGGAUCUGAGUUCAAUUCCCAGCACCCACUUUAGUCAGCUUACAAUUGUAAAUAUUUUUCUUAAAAGAAGUUAGGAUUUGCAGAAACCAGGCCAUUAAAAGCUUAAAGGUAGACUCGAGAUGGUAUGAUAAGCAUAUAAGAAAUGCCUUCUAGAAAUAGCACUAGAACCCAGUGACAUCACUUACUCAAGAUAACCAGGCAUGUGAAUGCAUAAGCAGAGAAUUCCAUGACACCUACUUGACCGUAUAUAAGCAGGGAUCACCCUGGCUUGGAGAGGAGUUCUGAGAGAAGGGGUGUCUGAGAGCAGCGAACAAACAGCUCCAAGCCAAACCACAGGUCCAAGCUGGCAGCGGCCUAUGCUCUGCUUUCUCUGUAGAUUUCCAGACAGCUCUCUAUUCUGCUCGAUCCAGUUCUCUAAACAGCAAUCCCUUCCUAUCCUAACAAUCCUCUCGAUAGCUCAUCUCCUGCAGAUCAUAGGCCCAGUCUUUCAUUUUACUUACCAAUCCAGUCAUUUAUUCCAGGUUUCAUUAUGCUUAUUCUAUGAAUCUGCAUCCUGUGACUGCAGCCCCUUAAUUCUUAAGAGACAGCAAGCACACAUUUUCUUUUAACACUGCAAAAGAAUUCAGAGAUCUACCUGCCUCUGUUAAGCUGGGUGGGGCCCCAUCUUGAAAUUACCAUUUCUACCACACCUGGGUUUAGGAAUCUGCCUGCCUUUAUAAGCUUAAACAAAACA